rnacentral:miRNA from 1 species
UUCAUUCACCUCUGCUCUUGC